rnacentral:rRNA from 1 species
AGAGUUUGAUCCUGGCUCAGAUUGAACGCUGGCGGCAUGCCUAACACAUGCAAGUCGAACGGCAGCACAGCAGUAGCAAUACUGUGGGUGGCGAGUGGCGGACGGGUGAGUAAUGCAUCGGGAUCUACCCAAACGUGGGGGAUAACGUAGGGAAGCUUACGCUAAUACCGCAUACGUCCUAAGGGAGAAAGCGGGGGCUCGCAAGACCUCGCGCGGUUGGACGAACCGAUGUGCGAUUAGCUAGUUGGUAGGGUAAUGGCCUACCAAGGCGACGAUCGCUAGCUGGUCUGAGAGGAUGAUCAGCCACACUGGGACUGAGACACGGCCCAGACUCCUACGGGAGGCAGCAGUGGGGAAUAUUGGACAAUGGGCGCAAGCCUGAUCCAGCAAUGCCGCGUGUGUGAAGAAGGCCUUCGGGUUGUAAAGCACUUUUAUCAGGAGCGAAAUACUACCGGCUAAUAUCCGGUGGGGCUGACGGUACCUGAGGAAUAAGCACCGGCUAACUUCGUGCCAGCAGCCGCGGUAAUACGAAGGGUGCAAGCGUUAAUCGGAAUUACUGGGCGUAAAGGGUGCGUAGGCGGUUCGUUAAGUCUGUCGUGAAAUCCCCGGGCUCAACCUGGGAAUGGCGAUGGAUACUGGCGAGCUAGAGUGUGUCAGAGGAUGGUGGAAUUCCCGGUGUAGCGGUGAAAUGCGUAGAGAUCGGGAGGAACAUCAGUGGCGAAGGCGGCCAUCUGGGACAACACUGACGCUGAAGCACGAAAGCGUGGGGAGCAAACAGGAUUAGAUACCCUGGUAGUCCACGCCCUAAAACGAUGCGAACUGGAUGUUGGUCUCAACUCGGAGAUCAGUGUCGAAGCUAACGCGUUAAGUUCGCCGCCUGGGGAGUACGGUCGCAGACUGAACUCAAGGAUUGACGGGGCCCGCACAGCGGUGGAGUAUGUGGUUUAAUUCGAUGCACGCGAAGAACCUUACCUGGCCUUGACAUG